GGAGUCUGGGCCGUGUCUCAGUCCCAAUGUGGCCGUUCAACCUCUCAGUCCGGUUACCGAUCGUCGACUUGGUGGGCCGUUACCUCACCAACUAUCUAAUCGGACGCGAGUCCAUCCUUCAGCGGAUUGCUCCUUUGACCCCUCUACCAUGCGGUAGCGUGGUCUUAUGCGGUAUUAGCAGUCGUUUCCAACUGUUGUCCCCCUCUGAAGGGCAGGUUACUCACGCGUUACUCACCCGUCCGCCACUAAGUCAAGAGAGCAAGCUCUCUUGCUUCGUUCGACUUGCAUGUGUUAGGCACGCCGCCAGCGUUCAUC
rnacentral:rRNA from 1 species